rnacentral:rRNA from 1 species
AAGGAAAGGUGAAAAGGACCCCGGGAGGGGAGUGAAAGAGAACCUGAAACCCUGUGUUUACAAACUGUGGAAGUACCAUAUGAGUACAACCGCGUACUUUUUGUAGAACGGUCCGGCGAGUUACGUUUACUGGCGAGGUUAAGCACUUAAGGUGCGGAGCCGAAGGGAUACCAAGUCUUAACAGGGCGUUAAGUCAGUGUACGUAGACCCGAAACCGGGUGAUCUACCCAUGUCCAGGCUGAAGUUGCCGUAAAAGGCAAUGGAGGGCCGAACGCACAUCCGUUGAAAAGGGUGGCGAUGAGGUGUGGGUAGGGGAGAAAUUCCAAUCGAACCCGGAGAUAGCUGGUUCUCCUCGAAAUAGCUUUAGGGCUAGCCUCGUGUUAACCUUGUGGAGGUAGAGCACUGAAUAUCCUAGGGGGCGUCAAAGUCUACCGAAGAUUAUCAAACUCCGAAUGCCAUAGAGGUGAUGCACGGGAGUCAGACUGCACGAGAUAAGUUGGGUGGUCAAAAGGGAAAGAGCCCAGACCUACAGCUAAGGUCCCAAAGUGCGUGUUAAGUGGAAAAGGAUGUGGGAUUUCGAAGACAACUAGGAUGUUGGCUCAGAAGCAGCCAUACAUUCAAAGAGUGCGUAAUAGCUCACUAGUCGAGAGGUCCUGCGCCGAAAAUGUCCGGGGCUGAAACACGACACCGAAGCUUAGGACUCCUUUUAGGAGUGGUAGAGGAGCAUUGUUAGCGCAGCGAAGCUGUACCGAUAAGGAGCAGUGGAGUGCUAAGAAGAGAGAAUGCCGGAAUGAGUAGCGAGAGGAAGGUGAGAAUCCUUCCGGCCGAAUAUCCAAGGUUUCCAGAGUAAAGCUGAUCUGCUCUGGGUAAGUCGGGGCCUAAGGCGAGGUCGAAAGACGUAGUCGAUGGAUAACAGGUGGAGAUUCCUGUACUAUGUGUACCCAGAACUGUGGGGACGCAUGUGGAGAGCACGAGCCGGGAAAGAGAAAACCGGUACAAGCGGGGUAGGAGUAAGGACAGCAAAUCUUCCUUACAAUCCGAAGACGUAAUGUGGACCGAACCAAAGUAGGGAAGCGUGUGAGCCAUGUGCCAAGAAAAGCCGCUAUUGUGAUACACAUACCCGUACCGUAAACCGACACAGGUGGAUGAGGAGAGAAUCCUAAGGCCGACGGAAGAAGCAUUGUUAAGGAACUCGGCAAAAUGACCCCGUAACUUCGGGAGAAGGGGUGCCCUGUGAAAGCAGGGCCGCAGAGAAUAGGCUCAAGCAACUGUUUAGCAAAAACACAGGUCUAUGCGAAACCGAAAGGUGAGGUAUAUGGGCUGACGCCUGCCCGGUGCUGGAAGGUUAAGAGGAGAAGUCAGGCAACGAAGCUUCGAAUUUAAGCCCCAGUAAACGGCGGCCGUAACUAUAACGGUCCUAAGGUAGCGAAAUUCCUUGUCGGGUAAGUUCCGACCCGCACGAAAGGCGUAAUGAUUUGAGCACUGUCUCGACAAUGCAUCCGGUGAAAUUGAAGUACCAGUGAAGAUGCUGGUUACCUGCGCCAGGACGGAAAGACCCCAUGGAGCUUUACUCCAGCUUGAUACUGGGAUUCGAUACUGUAUGUACAGGAUAGGUGGGAGACGUUGAGCAUAGAACGCCAGUUUUAUGUGAGUCGCUGUUGGGAUACCACCCUUGCAGUAUUGGAUUUCUAACCUGCACCCAUGACCUGGGUGGGGGACAAUGUCUGGCGGGGAGUUUGACUGGGGCGGUCGCCUCCGAAAGGGUAUCGGAGGCGCUCAAAGGUUCCCUCAGAAUGGUUGGAAACCAUUCGAAGAGUGCAAAGGCAGAAGGGAGCUUGACUGCGACACCGACGGGUGGAGCAGGUACGAAAGUAGGACUUAGUGAUCCGGUGGUAUAAAGUGGGAUUGCCAUCGCUCAACGGAUAAAAGCUACCCUGGGGAUAACAGGCUUAUCACUCCCAAGAGUUCACAUCGACGGAGUGGUUUGGCACCUCGAUGUCGGCUCAUCGCAUCCUGGGGCUGUAGCAGGUCCCAAGGGUUGGGCUGUUCGCCCAUUAAAGCGGUACGCGAGCUGGGUUCAGAACGUCGUGAGACAGUUCGGUC